UCUGGAGAAGGACACAUCUUCAUUCUUUGUUCUUCAAUUUGAAACAUUCAGUAUCGAUUUAUCUGUUUUCGGUGUUGGGGGCUUUAAUUUGGGAUUGGGUAUCUGGGCUUUUGUUCUUUGGUGGUUUGCAAAUUUGUUUAUUGGGUUUUGAUAUUGAUAAUUUAUGGACUGAGAUGAUUUUCGAUUUUGUGUGGAUUACAGAAAGGUUGGGACUGGUUUUCUUUGUUUGUAUGUGCAAACUCACUCUAAAUCUUUGUAUGUCUCUGAUUAGGGGGUUUGGGUGAUGCAGAGGUUGCUGAAAUUGUUAUUAAUUUUGGAGCUUCUGGAUUUUCGAUAAGGAUGAAUGCACUAUCAACACAAGCUGUCUGAGGUUUUUGUUUUGGUGUUUCAAUUGUGCUAAAUUCUGGGUUUUGGGCAGUCAAUUAUAGAAUCAAUCAUUGGGUUAUUUCAGUAGUGUUGAAAGGUUUUAGUUCUUUAAUUCUGUAUUGGAUGAAUGUAGCGGAAAAUGCUCAUUUAGUAUUGUAUGAGGUUCAGCUAGGGUUCUUGCAAUUACUUCCACAAAUAGUUGAAUAUGAUUUACGUCUUGCUGUGAAUUUAUUGGGAUUUUGUAAUUGAGGUUUGUAAUAAUAAUAAAAAAAAAUGAUUAAGCAAAAUGAAGCAUUUAGAGACUACAAAUCAAAAUUUAUUGGGACUUUGUAAUUGGGCAUGUUAUUGAUUGUAGUGUGUCUGUGUUUUUCCUCCAUAUUAUUGAUUGACUACACCUGUUUUUAGCUUUACAAUAUGCUAUUAAGUGAGCCUUUUUCCUGUUGAAAUUGGAAUUGACUAUGGUUCAGUUUCAGUUUUUAGAUCUGAAUCAGAUUGGUUUCCUUUUUACUGAAUUGGAAAUUCAUGCAAAUUUUAAUACCAUAUGCUCAGUUUUCUAUUAUUAAUGUUAUGGUUUCAUUAACUAUUCUGCAUUUUCUUUGUGUUCAAGUGCAGGUUUUUGGUGCUAGGCUUCUUUUGGAUUUCUUGCUUUUGGUCCAAGAAACUUGCUGAUCAGUUUUAUGUAAUUUUCGGCUUACAUUCCAGAAGUUCCAGCAGACUGGUUGAGCUUAAAGGACUAGACCAAUUGAUAUGGAAUGGAAGGUUUUUAGUAUUUUUGCAGGGAUUUUCUUUUUUGAAUCGACCCCUACAAUUUCUUAGUCACCAGCCUAAGCCCUCACUUAUUUACCAUAGUACUUAGUUCAGUACUAUGACCAAUUGGUUGAGACACCAGAUUUUGGAAAAUGUGAAACAAUACCAUUUGUAGGUAUGUAAUGUAUUUAAUAUUUGUAAAUAUUGUAUUAUUAAGCUGAACAUAUUAAUAAUAUACUUGCAGCAUCGCCCAUAAUAUACCCGCAGCAUCGCGCGGGCUGCAAUGCCUAGUUAUAUUAC